GACAACACUGGUUCCCAUAUGAUCACCAAAGUUAAGCAACGCUGAGCCUAGUCAGUACCUCAUGAGUUACCACUUGGGAAUACGAGAUGUUGUAA